AGACCCGAAACCCGGUGAUCUAGCCAUGGGCAGGUUGAAGGUUGGGUAACACUAACUGGAGGACCGAACCGACUAAUGUUGAAAAAUUAGCGGAUGACCUGUGGCUGGGGGUGAAAGGCCAAUCAAACCGGGAGAUAGCUGGUUCUCCCCGAAAGCUAUUUAGGUAGCGCCUCGUGAAUUCAUCUCCGGGGGUAGAGCACUGUUUCGGCUAGGGGGCCAUCCCGGCUUACCAACCCGAUGCAAACUGCGAAUACCGGAGAAUGUUAUCACGGGAGACACACGGCGGGUGCUAACGUCCGUCGUGAAGAGGGAAACAACCCAGACCGCCAGCUAAGGUCCCAAAGUCAUGGUUAAGUGGGAAACGAUGUGGGAAGGCCCAGACAGCCAGGAUGUUGGCUUAGAAGCAGCCAUCAUUUAAAGAAAGCGUAAUAGCUCACUGGUCGAGUCGGCCUGCGCGGAAGAUGUAACGGGGCUAAACCAUGCACCGAAGCUGCGGCAGCGACACUGUGUGUUGU
rnacentral:rRNA from 2 species